rnacentral:sRNA from 1 species
GCUGGGUGUGGUGGUGCAUGCCUGUAAUCCCAGCAAUUUGGAAGGCUGAGGCAGAAGGAUCAUGAGUUCAAAGGCAGUCUCUCUAAUGACAAGGUGCUAAGCAACUCAUUGAGACCCUGUCUCUU